rnacentral:rRNA from 1 species
AGCAGCCGCGGUAAUUCCAGCUCCAAUAGCGUAUAUUAAAGUUGUUGCAGUUAAAAGCUCGUAGUUGAAUUUCGGGAUCAGUACGCUGGUCGUGCCUUCGGUAUGAACUGGUGUCACUGGUUCCUCCCUUCUGAAGAACCGUUAUGCCAUUAAGUUGGUGUGGCGGGGAAUCAGGACUGUUACUUUGAAAAAUUAGAGUGUUUAAAGCAGGCUCGCGCUUGAAUACAUUAGCAUGGAAUAAUGAAAUAGGACGUUUGAUCCUAUUUUGUUGGUUUCUAGGAUCGACGUAAUGAUUAAUAGGGAUAGUUGGGGGCAUUAGUAUUCAAUUGUCAGAGGUGAAAUUCUUGGAUUUAUUGAAGACUAACUACUGCGAAAGCAUUUGCCAAGGAUGUUUUCAUUAAUCAAGAACGAAAGUUAGGGAUCGAAGACGAUCAGAUACCGUCGUAGUCU